GGGCGGAUGGCGAAAUUGGCAGACGCGGCAGCCUUAGGAGCUGCUGGGGCAACCCUUGGAGGUUCAAAUCCUCUUCCGCCCA
rnacentral:tRNA from 1 species